rnacentral:rRNA from 1 species
GGGGAAUAUUGCACAAUGGGGGAAACCCUGAUGCAGCGACGCCGCGUGGAGGAAGAAGGUCUUCGGAUUGUAAACUCCUGUUGUUGAGGAAGAUAAUGACGGUACUCAACAAGGAAGUGACGGCUAACUACGUGCCAGCAGCCGCGGUAAAACGUAGGUCACAAGCGUUGUCCGGAAUUACUGGGUGUAAAGGGAGCGCAGGCGGGAGAACAAGUUGGAAGUGAAAUCCAUGGGCUCAACCCAUGAACUGCUUUCAAAACUGUUUUUCUUGAGUAGUGCAGAGGUAGGCGGAAUUCCCGGUGUAGCGGUGGAAUGCGUAGAUAUCGGGAGGAACACCAGUGGCGAAGGCGGCCUACUGGGCACCAACUGACGCUGAGGCUCGAAAGCAUGGGUAGCAAACAGGAUUAGAUACCCUGGUAGUCCAUGCCGUAAACGAUGAUUACUAGGUGUUGGGGGAUUGACCCCCUCAGUGCCGCAGUUAACACAAUAAGUAAUCCACCUGGGGAGUACGACCGCAAGGUUGAAACUCAAAGGAAUUGACGGGGGCCCGCACAAGCAGUGGAGUAUGUGGUUUAAUUCGAAGCAACGCGAAGAACCUUACCAGGUCUUGACAUCCGAUGCAUAACACAGAGAUGUGUGAAAUCCUUCGGGACAUCGAGACAGGUGGUGCAUGGUUGUCGUCAGCUCGUGUCGUGAGAUGUUGGGUUAAGUCCCGCAACGAGCGCAACCCUUAUUGCCAGUUACUACGUUAAGAGGACUCUGGCGAGACUGCCGUUGACAAAACGGAGGAAGGUGGGGAUGACGUCAAAUCAUCAUGCCCUUUAUGACCUGGGCUACACACGUACUACAAUGGCGUUAAACAAAGAGAAGCAAGACCGCGAGGUGGAGCAAAACUCAAAAACAACGUCUCAGUUCAGAUUGCAGGCUGCAACUCGCCUGCAUGAAGUCGGAAUUGCUAGUAAUCGCGGAUCAGCAUGCCGCGGUGAAUACGUUCCCG